GGAGAAACCUCCCGCAGGCUCCCGGGCCAGGCGUGCAAGGCCCCCUCUCCUGCCAGGGCCCAGGACGCUGCGGGCCCCAGCGGAGGGGAAGGGGACUAAGUAGGGGAAGAAGCUGUAAACAGCCCCAGCGUCCGGGCCUCGCCUCGAAGAGCCGCGCUUCCCAGGCCCAGCCGCGGGCCGCCCAGGCCCCCAGCCUGCCCCGGGGCCGCCGCGCCCGGGGUCCGGGACACCGGAGGGGAGUCGGGUCCCCUCCCCGGAGAGCUCCGGGAGCUCGCGGAGCGGCCCCAGGAGCAGAGAAGGGGGAAGUCAGGACUUACCUGUCAUUACUUUCUACGCCAUCUUGGAUCCACUUGUCAACGUCCCCACAAAGCAUUAUGGGUGGGGACCCCUCCCCUAGGAAUGUGGCUCCAGGCUCCGCGGAGCCACCCUGGGAGCGUCCGGGCUGCGGACUGUGACUCCGGGGCAGGCAUUGACCCAAAUAAGUGUUCAGUUUGUGUGACUGCCCAACCCAUUCACUGCCUCCAGUGUGUGCAUCCAAGCCCAACCUUGUCAAAUACACCGCCUGUUGCCUGAGCUGGGACGGCCUGCCGACUCUUCUCCCUGCCCCUCCUGGAUACCUACAAUGCAUCCUCCACCUGACCAACCCUGUGAUAUUUUAUGAAUGUAAAUCAGAUCGAGACUUCUCUGCUGAAACCUUGGAAUAAAACCCAGAUUCCCAACCCUGGCCUACAAGCUCCUGUGUGAGGUGGUCCCACCUUCCCUCACCAGCAGUGGUCCAGGCUGGCCUUCUCUCUUUCCCUGCAGCGCCCCAAGCUUCCUUCCAGUGAGAACCCUAUUCCCCCAGAUCUUCUGAUUAUCUUUUCUUUGACAGAGUCUUGUUCUGUCGACCAGGCUAGAGUGCAGUAGCGCGAUCUCAAUUCACUGCAACCUCCGCCUUCUAGGUUCAAGCUGUUCUCUGCCUCAACCUCCUGAGUAGCUGGGAUUACAGGCGUCCGCCACCGCGCCCGGCUCAUUUUUGUAUUUUUAGUAGAGACAGGGUUUCACCAUCUUGGCCAGGGUGAUCUUGAACUACUGACCUCGUGAUCCAUGCGCCUUGGCCUCCCAAAGUGCUGGGAUUACAGGCGUGAGCCACCACGCCCGACCCAUCAUCUUUUCAUCAUAUUUAGGUCCCCUCAAAGAGGACUUUUGUGAUCCCCCUACCCAGACCAAGUCACUCUGAACACUUGACCUGUGUUAGAAGUUCUCUUGUUUAGGUCGGACGCUGUGGCUCAUGCCUGUAAUCCCAGCACUUUGGGAGGCCAAGGUGGGUGGAUCACAAGGUCAGGAGUUCAAGACCAGCCUGGCCAAGAUGGUGAAACCCUGUCUCUACUAAAGGUACAAAAAUUACAGCGCGCCUGUAAUCCCAGCUACUCGGGAGGCUGAGGCAGGAGAAUUGCUUGAACCUGGGGGGCCAAGGUUGCAGUGAGCCAAGAUCGUGCCACUGCCCUCCAGCCUGGGUGACAGAGUGAGAAUUCCAUCUCAAAAAAAAAGUUCUCUUGUUUGCCUGUUGUUAGUUGUUUCUUAUCUGCCCCGCCCCCAUUUGAUCAUAUGCUCCCUCUGGGCACAGGCUCUGUCUGGCUUAUUUGCCUCAGUGACUAGACCAGGGCCUGGCACAUACAUAGACGCUCACCAAGUAUUAGUCGAGUACAUGACCAAACUUCUCUCAGGGAUGGGCGUGUUGAUGAAAAGGAGUGCUAAAGUGUGAAGUGAGAUGCUGAGGGCCCUGCCUCGCAUCUCUUCAGACCACUGACCACACACAGCUAGAGGCAGGCAGAAAGGAACAGUGUUGAGGGAAAACAGGUCCCUUGGCCACCACUGAUUUAGCUCAAUUCUGAUUCUGAUCUCAUGAACACACACAGCCCUAACUAACUGAUCCCCCCGACAUCACAUCCCUCUUCCUUCCCACAUUUUUUCUUUCUCCUCUGCUCCCACUGGCCGUGGCUUCUUUUCUUUUCUUUUUUUUUUUUUUUUUUGAAACAGUGUCUUUCUCUGUCACCCAGGCCGGAGUGCAGUGGCGCGAUCUUGGCUCACUGCAACCUCCACCUCCUGGGUUCAAGCGAUUCUCCUGCCUCAGCCUCCCGAAUGCUGGCACCACAGGCACACACCACCACGCCCAGGUAAUUUUUGUAUUUUUAGUAGAGACAGGGUUUCACCAUGUUAACUAGGCUGGUCUCGAACUCCUAGCCUGAAGUGACCCACCCGCCUCGGCUU
rnacentral:lncRNA from 1 species